UCGGGGUGGGACAAGUGUAGAUGGGGCAUGUUGGUCGGGGUGGGACUAGUGUAGAUGGGGCAUGUUGGUCGGUGUGGGACUAGUGUAGAUGGGGCAUGUUGGUCGGAUGAGACUAGUUUAGAUGUGGCAUGAUGGUCGGGGUGGGUCAAGUGUAGAUGUGUCAUGUUUGUCGGGGUGGCACAUGUGUAGAUGGGGCAUGUUGUUCGGGGUGGGACUAGUGUAGAUGGGGCAUGUUGGUCGGGGUGGGCCUAGUGUAGAUGGGGCAUGUUGGUCGGGGUGGG